rnacentral:lncRNA from 1 species
AAUGAUAUCGAAAAAUUAUGAAAUUUAGUUUUCAAAUACUUUUGAUAGUGUAGAUUAAAUCUAACGGAGCUGAUCGUCGAUUUGAAAGCUGUAUCAUUGAAAACAAUUUAGUAGCACGAAAACCACCGUGUUACCGAUAGUAUACCAGUCUAGCUCCAUAUAUAUAUAUAUAUAAUUCAGCUAGAAUAUUUUUAGAAGCACUAAUCUCUUGGUGUUUCGAAGUUUCUAUCCAUUGGAUCUACUCCUUAAUUACUAAAACCUUUUGGAUCAAACACCCUUCCACCUACUACCACCUACCAUCUUUAUCUCAACUCUACAAUUCAGCUAGAAUACUUUUAGAAGCACUAAUCUCUUGGUGUUUCGAAGUUUCUAUCCAUUGGAUCUAUUCCUUAAUUACUAAAACCUUUUGGAUCAAACAUUCUUCCACCUACUACCACCUACCAUCUUUAUCUCAACUCUACAAUUCAGCUAGAAUACUUUUAGAAGCACUAAUCUCUUGGUGUUU